rnacentral:tRNA from 1 species
AAAUAAGAAACAAAAUUUGUAAUUAGUUUCGACCUAAUCUUUGGUAUUUAUUUACCCUUAUUUU